AUGACCUGAGCCAAAGUUGGACGCUUAACCGACUGAGCCACCCAGAUGCCCCAAUACUAGAGUGCAUUUUAGAAAGGCCUUCCCGGGAAGGCAGGUGAACAAGGGUCUGCGCAGAGUAACCCGGCCCAGCUGGCCUCUGACCCAGGGCCUGGGAUGCCCCCUGAGGCCACAUCUUCCAGACAAACAGGGAGGGUGAUCAAACAGCAGCAGGCAUAUCAUCAGAAUACCUGGGCCUGGCUCUCAGGUUCCCCCUCCCUUCACUUACCCGCUGCGUGACCCUGGUCAAGUCUCUCAGCCUCUGUGAUCCUUGGUUUCAUCAUCUGCAAAAUGGGAGCACCUUUAAACCCCUCUCUUCGAAUUUACUGGCAGGUAACGUUGCAGGAAAGAAGUACUAUCAGUUGACCAGGCACCCGCUGUGUGCUAAGCAGUUUCGGUGCCUGUGGGCGAGGCCCGCAUUGCUCUGCUCUUACACCGACCCCAGCCCUGUCUGGUCAUUUCAGAACCGCGGAGUCGGGCCAUCCACCCUGUCAUAUCUCUGAAGUUCUGGCUGCUGGAGCAGAAAUGUCUCCAUGGCAUGGGGAGCAUCAUGUGGUUAGCGACUGGCUCUAUCUCGCCCACGCUGCCUUCCCGUGGGGCUCCGUCAAGGCCCCGAACAGUGGGUGCUCCAAAGUUGCCAGGUUGGUGAAAAACCAAAAGACUCUGGUGCCUGCGUCAUAGCACAGCUCAGAAGACACCUCCCAUGUCCCCGUCGGGAAUCCCAUGGCAGAGAGUCCCAGCCAGGACAUCCAGCAAGGCCUCUCGGCCACGGGGCUAGCAGCAGGCAGGCCACACGUAUCCUGACGCUGUUGGCUGCACUCAGUCUGGGUGUGGUGGGGCUGUGCGAGAGAGAGCAAGGUGGUUGGGGUCUAGCGAUGGGCGGGGGGGUGAGGCUUUUGUUUCUUACUUUGUGCUUAAGUGAGCAAAACCCGCAGAAGCUCAGGGAGAAGAAUGUGCAAAAGGAAGGGAAAAGGAAACUACCGUUUGUCAACUACCUCCGAUUCCCCCGGAGGCACUCUGUGAACUUCCUCUCCGCUCACAACCACCCAGAGAAACAGGAGGAUCGUCUCCAUUCAUAGAACCCGCAACUGACUCAGAGAGAAGGAUACAUCUGCCCAAGAUCACACAGCCAGCAGGUGACAGACCUAGGAUUUGAACCCCGUUCCAUCUCUCCCAAAGCACAUGCUUUUCCCUUAAUGCCCUCGCUACCCUAGAGAAAAGGGAGAAAAAAAGAAAGAAGGCAAGAUAGAAAGAGGCCCGGCUCGGGGAGAGUCACGCGGAGAGAAAAAGAAAAAACGAGAGUGGAAAGAGCAUGAGGCCACAGCCGAGGCCUGGAGCGGGUCCUCGGGGAGCAGCAGAGGGCGGGGAUGGCCGGAAACCGGCUCACCGAACCUGGAGCCAAGAACCAUGCUUGGCCUGAGACCUGGUGGAAAAGCUCUCACCUCAAGAUAGUGAAGUGGGGGAAACUGGCGGGCCGGCGUGGGGGGAGGUGGGGGUGCAGGGUCUGCCCAGGAGGAGGGCAGCGUGGCCGGAUGGCCAGGGGGCUGCCAAGCAGGGUUCUUCACACAUCAUCCAGCUCAAAUAACCACCGCGGCUGCUCAGGCUGGCAGGCCCUUGCUCCCGGACGUGCAGAGCCGCAGGCUUGGAGGCCGCGAGGGAGGAAGCAAUGACCGGGCCUUCCUGGAACACUGGUUGUUCUUUGCACAAACGCCUGAAUGGGGCCCAUAAGUAGGGUGGCUGUAGUUUAUUCUCUGGACCGGGACAGCUGGGAGUGAGUAGGGACAACAAGCAUACAGACACAGGUAUAUAGAGUACCCAGCCUCGAGGGUCCUGUGUGGCUGGGCCUGGCCUGUGCCUGUGGCUGGCCCCCCUGCCCCCCACCCUCUUUGUGCACACUGGCCUUCCUCUGCAGACACGUAGGGCCUUGGCAUUGCCUGGAACAGCCCGCCCUAUGCCAUCACCACCUCUCCACACCCCUUCAUUGUUUCUACUCGCCUUCAGAACUCAGCUCAAGCCACACCGGUGCCUUCAAUAUUUCGUGUAUUUUCCUCCACAGCACCGAUGACAAUCACAGGCAUGAAAGAAAUUCUUAAUUAUGUAUUUGGUUGCUUAAAAGUCUGUCUCCCUUCCUAAGGGCAGGGCUGGGUCUGACUCACCCACUGUUGUAUCCUGGACACUCUAGCCAAAGGCUCCAGUGUAACGGUGAAUAAAUCAACUCCCAGGGCCCCCA